rnacentral:rRNA from 1 species
AGUCGAGGGGUAUAGUUCUUCGGAAUUAGAGACCGGCGCACGGGUGCGUAACGCGUAUGCAAUCUACCUUUUACAGAGGGAUAGCCCAGAGAAAUUUGGAUUAAUACCUCAUAGUAUGCAGAGUUGGCAUCAACACUGCAUUAAAGUCACAACGGUAAAAGAUGAGCAUGCGUCCCAUUAGCUAGUUGGUAAGGUAACGGCUUACCAAGGCGACGAUGGGUAGGGGUCCUGAGAGGGAGAUCCCCCACACUGGUACUGAGACACGGACCAGACUCCUACGGGAGGCAGCAGUGAGGAAUAUUGGACAAUGGGCGCAAGCCUGAUCCAGCCAUGCCGCGUGCAGGAUGACGGUCCUAUGGAUUGUAAACUGCUUUUGCACAGGAAGAAACAACUCUACGCGUAGAGUCUUGACGGUACUGUGAGAAUAAGGAUCGGCUAACUCCGUGCCAGCAGCCGCGGUAAUACGGAGGAUCCAAGCGUUAUCCGGAAUCAUUGGGUUUAAAGGGUCCGUAGGCGGUUUAGUAAGUCAGUGGUGAAAGCCCAUCGCUCAACGGUGGAACGGCCAUUGAUACUGCUAGACUUGAAUUAUUAGGAAGUAACUAGAAUAUGUAGUGUAGCGGUGAAAUGCUUAGAGAUUACAUGGAAUACCAAUUGCGAAGGCAGGUUACUACUAAUGGAUUGACGCUGAUGGACGAAAGCGUGGGUAGCGAACAGGAUUAGAUACCCUGGUAGUCCACGCCGUAAACGAUGGAUACUAGCUGUUGGGAGCAAUCUCAGUGGCUAAGCGAAAGUGAUAAGUAUCCCACCU